GCCGCAUCUCCGCCGUCGCCGCCGGUGACCGACACCGGUGACUCACCGGCGACUCGGUCAACUCGGCCGAGUCAACUCAGUGAGUCAACUCGGUUGACUCGGUUAACCGAUCGGUUAGCCGGUUUAAAUUGAUUUCGGUUCGGUUAGGGUAAACCGGUCGGUUUAGUCAAAUCGAUUUCUGGUCAAAGCUUGACCGGGUUGACUUUGACCAGCGGGUUGACUUUUUCGAAAACCUUGACCAGUUCCGUUUUCGACCGUUCGAAAGGCGUUCUGACUCAGAAUUUCGAUCUGAUUUCAGAUAUGGAGUCUAUUUGAGCAGCUGGAGUUCAUAGACAACACUUUUCUAUUGCUAAGGUGAGACAAACAAGUAUGUGAUAUUUGGACGGAUUUGGUGCUACUGGACUUUUCUUUCGGAUUUUAUUUGGGCAUGGGUGAGAGUUGUCGGGUUUAUGGGCUUUUAUAUUACGGGAUAUUAUUGGUGGCCCGUCGUCCUUAGUGUCAGGGAGACGGGUGUCACAUUGUUGUAUGAUGACGCGUCGGGGGUGACACGCUGUCCUCCAUAUAGGAGGUGACGGGUGUCACAAUUUGGUAUCAGAGCGGGUUCCAUCCCGGUUCCGUCCCGGGAUUGCGGUCAGGGGAUUCGGUUUUCAUCGUUUUCAAUGUUCUUUUUGUUUAAAAAAAAUAUAUAUAUAUAUAUUUAUUUAUAUAUUUGGAAAUUCUUUUAGCACCAUUAUGUCCAGUAAUUACUAACUCAAAUGUCUCUUUCUAUGACGAUGAGUAAAAUCAUCGUCAUUCGUCCUUCGACUAUCAAGGUUCUCGACAGAUGUUCAGCAGUUGCGUGAAGUCCAAGUUCGUCAGUUUUCUCGGGAGUUAUCAGUUUCUUCGGUCAUGAUUUUGAGGCUAUCCAGGAGUGGAUAUGUGACGUUUCUGCCACCAGCCCACUUCAAGCAAUCGUUCCACGAGUUUUGUUACUGGAGAUUAUGUGGUGUGUGGUAUGAGCCAUUGGUUGGCAUGUGUUGUUGUGUGUACGAGUAUAUUGACUAUUUUGGAGAUAUAUUUUUUUUUCUGUGAACUCGUGGAGAUCGCUUUUGAAUUGGGGUGCAGCAGCUUGCGUUGUGUGGGUGUUGGAGUUACACUUUGGUAUGUUUACCAAUUUUGGCAGUGUUGAUCGUUUCAGAGAUGUGUCAGUUUGGACAACUGACAUAGGACAUUGGGAGCUAUUUAUAUCCAUCGCAGUGUACCAGUUAUGCUUGGAGGGCCGAUUUGUUCGGAUAUUCAUCAGAGAUGGAGCUACGUUUUUACGACGUUAUCCUUGGGACGGAUUGAUUGUCACGGCAUCAAGUAGUGUUGGAUUGCCUGAGGGCAAGAGUUCCGAUUGCUGGAGCAGAUGGAAGUUGUUAGUGCAUGCAUGCUACAUACUGAGGAGUUAUGGGAUACAAGGACAUAGAGAUUUUUGACUACCAUCUCGAUGGUUAAGGCUGAUGGCCAACAUGAGCUGCAGGAUCUUCCGGUUAUUGCAGAGUAUGAGGAUAUAUUUGUGACCUUUGGAACGGUCACCACAUGACACAUGAGAAACUCUUGCGAUUUGUUUGGAGCAAACAACACAAGUUUCACAAGUUUUAUACCGAUUAGCACCAACAGAGAUGACAAAGCUAAAAGAGCAUGUUGAAGAUUCAUCAGACAAGGGUUUUAUCAGACCGGGUACUUUACCGUGGGGAAUAUCAUCAUUGUUGUUGUAAACAAGAAAGGUGGGAGUUUCAAUUUUGUAUCGACUGCAAAGGUCUGAACAAAGUGACCAUUAAAGAUAAGUAUCGCUUCCGCGCGUUGAUGAAUUAUUGGAUUAUUUAUAGGAAGUUUAUAGUUCUUGAAGGUUGACAUGGCAUCAGAACACCAUCAGAUUACUAUAUUUGAAGAGUAUCUACUGAAUGUGAAUUUUUGUAUACAUUAUGGAUAUUAUGGGACGCAGUGAUACCAUUUGGCUCGACAAAGGCAUCGUUGCAUUCAUGAAGAUAUGAAUGACGUUUUCGUGAACAUUUGGAUAGGUGUGCGAUUGUAUUCAUCGAUGACAUCCUGAUUUAUUUUGGAGUAGAAAGGAGAUUUGUGAGCAUUUUGCGGAUUGCAUUGGAUAAGCCUGGAGAGCAUCAGUUGUUCGCUAAGUUGAGGAAGUGUAGCUUCUGGCAGAGGAAUGUUGUAUUUUUGGAUAACAUGGUUUUGGAAGCAGAAUUUUGAUGGAUUCAAAGAAGAUUAAUACCGUUUCGGGAAGGUCGAAACCUAAGAGAGCUACAAAGAUCUGCCGUUCUUUUUGGGUUAAUAGUGUACUACUGGAAGUUCAUCAAGGGUUUCACCGGUUUAGUAAUGUUAAAGACGCGGUGUACAUGUAAAGACGUUAAGUGUGGUUGGAUAGAUUUUUGUUCGAGGAUUUUCACUGAAUUGAAGCACAACUAAUGAAGACACCAGUUUUGGGUUCUACUGAGGCUGAGGCCUACUGUGAUGUGUCAGAUACUGGAUUGGAUUUAAAUUAAGGUAUGGGGAUUAAGUCAUUCAUAUGCAUGACACCAGAGAUUCUGUAGUGGUAUUUGCGUUAUCGUUUUGGAGAUCGUAAUUGUACGGGAAGGAAGUUCAGAUUCUCUGGGAUUAUUAGAAUGUGAAAUUUAUCUUCAUUUAUUAAAAACUUGUACUUGGACAGUGCAGUUGGAUUGAGUUUGUAGCAGGCUAUAGUCUGGAUAUCGCAUACUAUCUGGUAAGGACAACCAGGUGAUAAAUGCCUUGGGUAGGCGUAUGAGCUGUAUCUCAGGAACCAAGAAGGUUCAUGAGUUGGAGAUUUGCUAGUCUCAGGUUGGGUGCCAUUACUAUCAAUGGAGAGACAGAUGUCCUUGGGACUUUGGAGCAGGCAGUUUUGCUAUGGAGGAUACACAAGCACAAGUUAGCAUUCUGGAUUGGUUGAACAGAUCGAGAUUGGGAGUAUUGGAUAUCAUACAGCUUUGAGCAGGAUAUACUUGUACUGAAACCGAGUUUGUGUGUUGGACGAUAAGUUGUUAAGAAAAGGAAUCUUACAACAAACAUAUCACUCGUGUUUCUCUACCCAUCGGGAAGACCAAAGGGUACAAAGAUAUGAAGAGUUAACUAUAAUUGGUGUAGUAUGAAGAUGUUUGUAACUACAUUACGUCGCGGUGCCAGACCUGUUAUAUGGCAAUGACAGAGGAUCAGUUAUCUAUUAUGUUAUUUUUGAGCUUGCUUUUGCCGGAGUAGAAAUGAGGCAUGGUGAUUAUGGACAUUGUUAUUGGAUUUUAAAUCACCAUAUGUGGAAAGGAUGCCACAUGGGUAGUCAUGGAUAGACUUACCAAGUCAGCCCAUUUCCUAAGUAAUUAAGAAGAUAAUCAGGGCUAAUCAAUUGGAGCAAACCUACAUUAUUGAGUUUGGGAAGUUUCAUGGAUGUCAACAUUGUAUCGGAUUGGGAAUCGAAGUUCACAUCUACAUUUCAGAGAGCCUUUCGGAAGGCACUUGGGACAAAGAUCAUAUGAGUACAUCUUAUCACCCGUUGACAUAUUGUCAGUCAGAGAGGACUACUCAGAACUUAAAUGAUAUGUUCAGAGAUUGCGUGGGAUGGAAUUUCGGAAAGCAUCUACCUUUACCAGAGUUUGCCUACAUCGACAACUAUCUUUUGAGUAUUGAGAAAAAAAAAAAAAAUUACUAUACGAGGGUUAUUUAUGGUAGACCCUAUAGUAUACCACUUUGUUGGACCAAAGUGGGGGUAGUAAUAUGAGUUAGAACUAUUAAUGGUUUAAGAGACGGUAGAGCAGAGGACAUGCUCAAGGAUUGGCUUUCGGAAGCCCAUGACGUCAGAGCAUUUAUGCAGCUAAGCACCGUAAGGAUUUAGAGCUACAUAUGAGCACCUAAUAUACCUGAAAAUAAGGACAUUUCAGGAGGGACCUAAGACUCAGAAGAUAAAGGAGCUUAAACCGAGACACAUGGAAUUGUAUCCUUCGCUGGAGUGGAUUGGAUUAAUUGCUUGCAGUUACUUUAUCAGCAGUAUAUCAGCCUUCUAGUACUUGGUUCAUAUGACAGCAUUGCAAAAGUUGAGAAGGCGCUAUAACUAUUUUGCAGUAGACAUCAAGUGAGUUCAUAAAGAUUUUAUGAACCUUAUCAUCUAUUGGAGAUUUUGGAUCAUCAUGAGAAGACAGUUCGGGGAAUAUCGACUGUGUUUGUCCGAGUUCAUUGGGAGGGAGAUAAGACCCAGGAGGAGACCUGAAAGGUCGAGCGAAGAUUAGUAUUCGAGGUUUUGCUAUGAUGACAUUGGGCACGUCAGCUUAUGACAUGAAUUCGGGGACGAAUUCCUUAUAAGUGGGGGAGAAUUGUAAUGACCCACCACUCCCACCAUCUCCACUUCUUUCUCCAACCCCACCACUUCCAACUUCUUCUCCACCAUCUCCACCUUCUUCCCCACCACCUCCAUCUUCUUUAAAAUUAAGAAAGAGAAGAGAGAGAGAGAGAGAGAGAGAGAGAGAGAGAGAGAGAGAGAGAGAGAGAGAGAGAGAGAGAGAGAGAGAAGAAGAAGAAGAAGGGAGAAAGCUCACCUGAGCUCGUCGCCGGAGCCACCACAUGCCAGACCGUUGAGCUCGCCACCACCAUCAUCCGCAACCAAAGGUGAGACAAACAAGUAUGUGAUAUUUGGACGGAUUUGGUGCUACUGGACUUUUCUUUCGGAUUUUAUUUGGGCAUGGGUGAGAGUUGUCGGGUUUAUGGGCUUUUAUAUUACGGGAUAUUAUUGGUGGCCCGUCGUCCUUAGUGUCAGGGAGACGGGUGUCACAUUGUUGUAUGAUGACGCGUCGGGGGUGACACGCUGUCCUCCAUAUAGGAGGUGACGGGUGUCACAAAAACAAUGGUUAAAGGACCUAACAAGGUUCGAACGGUGACCUUGUGAGUUACAGUCGAAUGCUCUACCACUCAGCGAUGGACCCUUUAGUCUUUCUUUGUUAUUGGGGUUUUUAAUAUUAUUGUUAACUGUUGCCUUCACCUCCAUUACUUUUUGCGGUCAAAAUAACUUUUAUUUAUGCAGUGGUCGUACAUACAUUUUCUUGUAAGAAGUUUGAACAAUAAUUAAACAAUAUAAACUCUAUAAAUUAA